ACCUGCUGCUCAAGCUGCGUCUGCUGGCCUACGACGCCGACGACGUGCUUGACGAGCUCGACUACUUCCGCAUCCAGGACGAGCUCGACGGCACCUACCAUGCCGCUAACGAGCACGCCGGGGGAUGCGCCCGUGAGCUCCUCCUCAAUGCUCGUCACACUGGAAGAUACGUUGCCAAUAAAUUCAAGCUCUCCUCAGGCUCGCCUGAUGCUACUCGUGGACGACGAUUUCUAUGUGGUGCCUGGCCGUCCAAGGUACCGCAGAGAAGACAAACAGCACAGAUACCAAAAUUGAAGUUUGAUAGGGUGGAUAUAUCUACAAGGAUGACAGAGAUCGUAAACAAGCUCAAGCCCAUCUGUGCUAUGGUCUCAACCGUUCUUAAUCUAGAGCUGAUAGGCUCCAAAGGUAUCACUACUGCCACCAUGGAACGGCCCACAACCAGUGAGGAAAUUACAGAGCCUAAAUUGUAUGGGAGGGAGACAGAGCUACAGAGUGUUGUAGAUUCCAUUACCCAUGGUGAAUGUUUUGCCAAUGAACUUACUGUGCUUCCAAUUGUUGGCCCGGGCGGUAUUGGGAAGACAACUUUCACACAACAUGUGUACCAAGAAGUGAGGAGCCAUUUCCAAGUUACAAUUUGGAUAUGCGUCUCUCUGGAUUUCAAUGCAGAUAGAUUGGCACAAGAAGCUGUGAAAAAGAUUCCUAAAGUUAAAGAUGAAAAGAAAAGUGGUAGUGAUCAAGAGCUAAUUGAGCAAAGAUUAAAAGGUAAACGGUUUUUGCUUGUCCUGGAUGAUAUAUGGAAAUGUCAUGAGUAUGAGUGGGAAAAACUACUAGCACCAUUUAGAAAAGGUGGAGGAAAAGGUAAUAUGGUUAUAGUCACAACUCGAAUGUCAGAUGUGGCCAAAAUGGUUAAGACAGGUGAUUCUCAAAUGCAAUUGGAUCGUUUAGGAGCUAAAGAUUUUAGGGAUUUCUUUGACGCAUGUGUAUCUACCAAACAUGAGUUAUGGUCAGAUAAUCCUGAGUUAAGUGAAACUGGGGAAGCAAUAAUGGCCAAACUGAAACGUAAUCCUCUUGCUGCAAAAACUGUUGGGAGAUUACUAAGAAAACAGCUCACUUUGGAGCAUUGGAGAAGGGUUCUAGAGAGCAAAGAAUGGGAACUCCAAACCAGUGACAAUGACAUUAUGCCAGCGUUGAAGAUUAGCUAUGAUUAUCUUCCACUUAACCUAAAGCAAUGCUUUUCCUAUUGUGCUUUGUUUCCUGAAGAUUACGAAUUUGACAGCAAAGAGUUAGUUCACUUUUGGAUAGGACUAGAUGUUUUACAUCUGGGUGAUCAGAGCAUAAGAAUAGAAGAUGUUGGCAAGAGUUAUUUGAUUGACUUGGUCAACUAUGGAUUUUUCAAAAGGAACGAAAAAGACAAUGGCCGUCAUUAUUAUGUUAUCCAUGACCUAUUACAUGAGCUGGCCGUGAAAGUUUCACGGCACGAUUGUCUUAGCAUACAAAUAUCUAAAGUGAGGUAUGUACAUAUCCCGGCAUCAGUACGCCACUUGUCUAUCAUUGUGGAUAACAAAGAUGUUGAGGAUAUAAUUACUUAUAAAGACUGUGAGAAGGAUCUUGAUGCACUUGAUAAAAGGCUACAAAUUGAAAACAUACGUACAUUGAUGUUGUUUGGUGAAAAUGUGCAGAGUUUUUCCAAAACAUUUGGUAAUUUGUUUAAGAAAGCUGGAGCCCUUCGCGCUAUUUUUUUGUCUAGAGCAUCAUAUAUUGUGGAGGAUAUGUGGCAGAACUUUUCAAAGCUUGUUCAUCUUCGCUACCUGAGGAUUAAGGGGAGUUACCAUUUUCUGGAAACAGACCUACCAGGAACAAUUUCAAGACUAUAUCACUUGAAGAUCCUAGACAUUGAAGAUUCCAGGGGCUGCCCUAUGCCAUCAAGAUAUUUAAGCAACCUCGUAAGCAUGCAACAUUUUCUUGUCCCUGGUAAUUAUAGCCUUCACUCAGACAUUCUCAAUGUGGGAAACCUGAAACUUCUACGAGAACUAAGAAGAUUUGAAGCUAAGAAAGAAAAUAAAGGUUUUGAGUUAAAGCAACUAGCAGAACUACUAGAGCUUGAAGUACUGCGCAUUUACAAUCUUGAAAAGGUUAAAGUAAAGGAAGAAGCAGUUGCAAUGAAACUAAUACAAAAACACCAUUUACAAGAGCUCGUACUAGAUUGGGAUAUUGAUCGCUUGGAUAAGGAUCCUAUAGGAGAAGAGAAUAUCCUUGAAAGUCUUAUGCCACAUAGCAAUCUCUACAAGCUAUCUAUUAUUGGACAUGGAGGUGACACUUGCCCUUCAUGGCUUGGUAUGAACCUCUCGGUAAAAACUUUGGAAUCUCUUCAGCUGAGUAACGUAUGUUGGAAAACAUUUCCACCUCUAGGAGAGAUGUGGUUUGUCGGUGAACAUUGUAAAAGCUGUAUGCCAGAACAAAGCUUCAAAAAAUUGAAGAGGCUAGAACUGGAAAAUGUACCAAAAUUGAUAAAAUGGGUUGGAAAUGGCCCUUCUGAUUUGUUCUCUCACUUGGAAGUACUCGUCAUCAAAGGCUGCCCAGAACUCAUGGAAUUGCCAUUUUCACAUUGUGCUGGAUAUGAACAAGACGUUGAGGAUAACAUGAUUUGGUUUCCUAAACUAGAAGAGCUCGAAAUUACAGAUUGUCCAAAGCUAUCAUCAUUGCCUUGUGUUCCAUGGUCUAGCUCUACUUGCAGUGCUAAGAUUAUACAAGCUGGUUCGGGUAUUGAGCGACUGUCUUUCAGUGGAGAUUUCUUGGAAAUUAAGGGAAAGGACACAUUGGAUAGUGCUUUUUGGAGGGUGUUAGCCUUUCAUAACCUAUCCAAACUUGAAGAAUUGUGGGUGAGGACAUGCCCUCCUUUGUCACUGGUUCACCUCGAAAAGCUAUCAUCCCUAAAGCGCCUCGUCAUAAAUGAUAUGGGUGAUGCCUUUUGUUCGGCUGAAGGUGAUGGUCAUGCCGGAUAUCAAUUUCCAGUUAAAGGUGUCACGAUUGGGCGAUAUGGUGGUAGUGGGCAGCGACUGACACGACUGCUCUCUUACUUCCCAAACCUCCGCAUGUUCACCAUGUUCGAGUGUGAGAAGUUAACAGGGUUAGGCGUUGUGGGCCUGCAUAAGAGGACGGAAGCACUGCCAAGACCGCCGUCAAUUUCAGUUAACCAGGGCGCAAGAGCAGAGGAGGAAAUAACAUCAGAAGGGGUACUAUUGCUGCCUCACCAAUUACAACAUUUGGGGAUCUGGGACUGCCAAAAUUUGGUCCUCUGCCCAGGUUUACUCGACCACGACGAAGACGAAGGACGAACCGGAGGCCUCCAAGGUCUGAGCUCCCUCACUUCAUUAACUAUAGGGGAAUGCCCCAGGUUGCUCUCCUCCUAUUCGUCGUCCUCCUCUUCUUCUUGUUUCCCUUUCCCAACCUCCCUGGAAUACCUCUGUCUGGCAGGCGAGGUGGGCAUGGAAACGCUGCUCCCUCUCUCGAACCUCACCUCUCUCACAAGGUUAGACAUACGGGAAUGUGGGGAUCUUAAAGGUGAGGGUCUGCAGUCUCUCCUCGCCCAAGGCCGUCUCACCGAAUUAACUGUCCGCGAAACCCCCAAAUUCUUCGCUGGUUCCGAGCCCUCACUGCCGCGUGAACCAGAGCUUCCAUCCUCUUCAUCCAAACUGCAGGAGCUUCGCACGGAUGACGUCGCGGGUGUCCUUGCUGCGCCCAUCUGUGCCUUCCUCUCUUCCUCGCUCACCAAAUUGGAGUUUUGGGAGGACUCAGAGGUGGGGCGCUUCACAAAGGAGCAAGAGGAGGCCCUUCAGCUCCUCACCUCCCUCGAGAGGAUCAGAUUUUGUCAGUGCGACAAGCUGCAGUGCCUCCCUGCAGGGCUGCACAGACUUCCCAACCUCAAGAGAUUAAAAAUCUACGGAUGUGCAGCCAUCCGAUCACUGCCCAAGGAAGGCCUCCCAAGUUCACUGCAAAAGUUGGUGAUACACGAUUGUCCAGGCAUCCGGUCGAUGCCCAAGGAAUGCCUCCCAAAUUCACUGCAAAAACUAGUGAUCAGACGCUGCCCAGGCAUCGGGUCUCUUCCAAAGGUGGAAUACCUUCCAAGUUCGCUGCGAGAAUUGGUUGUCGAUGAUAGGAACAGCGAGGAACUAAGAAGGCAUUGCCGCAAGUUGAUAGGAACCAUUCCAAUAGUCAGAGCCUGAUUUACCCAAGGUAACAAAGAGGUGGAACUUCCUACCCACCAAUUUCCCUUGCUUUCCCCAACCCUAUGAACAUCAGUUAUUCUCCUUUUGUUUAUUUGAUUACAGUUAUGGUUUCCUUCCAAAUAACCCACUUGUUUGCACCUAUGGUGCAGGGCUAUUGUUGGUAACGAUGAUUUGAGCCUAUCGAUCGAUUGCUGGAUGUUUUGCUUUUUUGUGAGAAUUUCUAGGAUUUCUCUAUUUUUUUAGAGUAUCCACCUAAGAUCCUAGGUGGCUUUACCUGGAGGCUUCAAAAGGAGCCUCCAAUUAGUAAUAGUAAGAUUGGGAUUUUCACUGUAUCCAUACAUGAUUCUCAGUUGUCAAGCAUGAACAUCUCAGGAUAUAUCUAACACCCUGUACACAAACUGGUUAGUAUCCUGUAUGCAAAAUCAUCCGAGAGUCCCACAAAACAUCUACAAAUUUGAUCCAUAUUUUUUUGUUAAUCCUCUGCCUAUUGUUUUUGCUAAUUAUUAGGAUGUCUUUUUCUUAUAAUUAUUGAGGAGUUUAAACUUUUCAUAUUAGAGUUGAUAAAAAACUAUUGAUAGACAAUUUUCUCACUCACCGAACCCUGAUGUGUGAGUUUAUCAGUUUAAGAACGGCUCGUUGCUCCAACAACUUUCAGGUUGUCUUGGUGUCUGCUACACAAAUAGGCUGCAUCCACAACAUAUUAACUCUGAAUUUAUUUGUUGGUUUUGCCAGUUCACCAGAAUAGUACUUCUCAGAUUGUAGGACCAACAUAUUAACUCUGAAUUUAUUUAUUGGUUUUGCCAGUUUACCAGAAUAGUACUUCUCAGAUUGUAGGAUCUUUUUUGACUACUUGCCUUUGUUUUCUGAUGUGUUGCUGCAGAAAAUAUUGCAUCCUUACGCUUUUCUGGUAUCCUAAUUUCUUUGCUUAAUGCUGGACUAAUUUGCUGUACCAACAUGGUAUCACCGAUGUCUCAUUUUCUGUAUUCCAAGUUAGCAUACUUAUUGGAGUUUGAUGGACUUAUGUCCAUAUGUAUUCUUGCAAAAGUCUCCAUUGGAACAUAUGUAAGCAAAAGAAGUGGCAGAAGCUAACCUAGAAAGCAAAAUAUAAAACUUCUUUUUGUACUGCCACAUAGAGUUCCAAAAAAAAGUCUCCAUUGGAACUUAUUUUGCUAAUUAUUUGGAUGUCUUUUUCUUAUAAUUAUUCAGUAGUUUAAACUUUUUGUAUUAGAGUUGAUAAAAAACUAUUGAUGGAGAGUUUUCUCACUCACAGAACACUGAUUUGUGAGUUUAGCAGUUUUAGAACAGCUUGCUGCUCCAACAACUUUAAAGUUGUCUUGGUGUACUGCUACAGAAAUAGGCUGCAUCCACAACAUAUUAACUCUGAAUUUAUCUAUUGAUUUUGCCAGUUUUCCAGAAUAGUACUUUUCGGAUUGUAUAGGACCUUUUUGACUAAUUUUUUCUUUGUUUUCUGAGUAUUGCUGCAGAAAACCUGUUUUAUGCUUAGUUUCACUUUUUGAUAAUUCAAUCGGAAUUUCUUUCACAAGUGUUUCUUUUCUUUCUUCAAUGCAGUGAACCUUGAUGGAAAAAUAUUUACGAAGGUUUUAUAAGAUAUCCAUUCUCAAACACCUAAGGUAGCAUUACAGAUAGUUAGAUAUUCAUAGUUUUUUUCUUAAUUACCAUGAAUUAUUUUUUAAGUGUUAACCUUUCCAUUUCACAGGAGAGCAAUUUAUUUUUCUUAUAAGCGACGAAAUGUAUGCUACUCAACUGCGCAAGUGUAAAUCUGCCUAACUGUUGCUACUGACAACAGUAAGAGCCUACUCAAUCUUUGAAUUCAGUUACAAAUAUCAUAGUCAGCUAAUGUGAAAACUCUCAUAUUGUUCCUCUAGUUUUCUAGAUCAAGCUCGGCAUGCAAGCUGUGUUGGCACAAAGAUUUGGUUGAUUCAAGGAGGUUUCUGGCACUUCAGUAAUUAACAGAAAACUACUACUCUAGCUGGGGCAACUUCAGAUGUUCCUAGUGGUUCUAUGAUUGGCAGGUCCGGCCAGUGCCAUCUUAAGCAGCUGUGAACCAAGUGUUCCUUUACAUUGCACUCAUCUAGAUCAACAGAGUAGCUAGGGUUGCGCGCUCAGUCUGACCGAACUGAACCGAUCGGUUCUUCAGGUUUUAGCAGAUUUCGGUUACCUAAAACUAGGAACCGAUUGGUGCCAAAAGUUUCCAAGACUGAGUAGCUUCAUGCAUUCUAUGCUGCUCACACUUGCUUGCUUAUAUACGAGGUGAUUGUUACACUUUCCCUGAGGUCAUUUUGUGAUGCCAGUAGACAUUGUAAAUGCCGUUCUUUUCCUGGAGAAAUAUUGAUCAAGCUUUUCUCCUCGGUGACUUUGCUUGCAGGAAUGUCUCAUUGGAAGGUGACAUUGAGGGCUGGCACUGUACCUCCCUGCAUGCCCUGCUGCCCACCUACUGCAUCCUGACCACGGUCCGUGUGCGGGAUGGCUCGACCACUGUAUUGCUUCCGGAGGGGCCGCUCUGCGACGUUCUCCGGCACUCUACAACCAUGUGGUCACCGCGGUCCGUGUGCGCGAUGGUCCGUGGGCGUCGACCGCUUCGGAGAACGUGUGUGCACGAUACUACCUAGUAUUUAUAUGUAAGGAUUUGACAGUUCAGUUAUGUAUGAGUAGUAUAGUUAGUAUAAGAAUAUAUUUGGAAAAUAAGUAUAAUAACUUUGUUAAAAUAUAUCACAUCUUUCUUCGUUAUCCUAUCUUAUUUCCUUUUCCUUUACUCCUCGCGUCUCCUCGUUUCCACCUCUCGACUAGCGGCGAUGGCGGCGGCGACUGGCGACGAUAGAGGCGGCGACUGGCGGCGGCGGGCGGCGUCGACUGGCGGUGACUGCGCGGCGGGGGGCGACGACGGCCUCGUCCACGGAAGCGCAAGAUCCAUCCGAGCCGCCGGAGACUCCGCGCCACAUCCAUCUGUCCACGGCGGCCUCUCUCUCUGUCUCGUCGCCGCCGCCAUCGCUUGAAAGGGGAGAAAAGCAGGGAUGGGUUCUUGCGCUUCGGUUCAAAACAAGGAUUCUGGCUUCCCCAAGAAGCAGUUUCUUGCGUCGCCCACCAAGGCGAAGGCCGCCAACGGCAAGGGCGGCGACGGCGUUGCUCCGCUUGGCGAUGGCUUUGGUGAUCUCAAGUCCAAGGCCGAGGGGGAGCAGCAGCGGGCAGGUUUUGGCCCAAAGAGCCCGGAUUCUAGUACGCGUGAUGAAUCUUUGCUUUCUUUGGUUGUUUUCUGAAGCGAGGUCCCGAUCUUUAUCUUUUCAGUCAGUUAUUACUAUAGUUUAGAGAGGAUCUUUGGAAGUAAAGAAGCAGAUGGGCAGUCAGUUCUUUAUAUGAAAAGGGACUUUUUGGGUUCGUUUAUUGAUUUAUUGGGCUCUGGAAGAUUUGAUAGCCAAGUGUAGUGUUAUCGCUGCAUUAAUCUCUUCUGGAGAUCAGUUAGCUUCGUAAUUUUGCAGGGGCUGACGAUCUUGAACGGAAAAGGAUCUUUGUUGAUAUACUGACUGAUUUUGGUUUCUUUUAAUGGAGGAGUUUUAGCUGUUACAAUUUGUUCUUGAAAAUUUAAAGCUUUCUAAAUGACGAUGAUCUCUUCUAUCCAAAGUAGAUUACUCUAUUGACUGAAGGCUUUUUACAGCCUGAUCAUUUCUGUUGUUUCGUACUUUCGUUAGAAUGGAGGAGUUUUUUUUUUGUGCGUGUAAAAUUGCUGACUAAAUCCUAAAUUGAAAUGGCACACGGCUUUGUUGAGGGAAUCAAGAUCUUGCCAAUAACCUCUUGAAUAGCUUAGUUGCAAUGGGCUGUGCUUCAAUGUUUCUUUCCCCAAAAUCAAUUGCUAGCUCUUGAUGGUUCUGAAUUUCGCUUAGUUGAAAUUGUUCUCUUCACUGAUACACACUCAUAUACCAAGCUGAUUGAAUUUAUCUCUCCACUUAGCUGAAAGUACAAUAACAUGAAUACAGUGACUCUUUUAAUCAAGAGUGCAACUUAUGGGAUUUAAUUUGCAGGCAGCAAGGAUGAAGUGUUCUUCGAGUCUCGAGCUUGGUUAGAUUCAGACUGUGAGGAUGACUUUUACAGUGUGAAUGGAGGUAAUCAAACCGUUGACAUGUUUAAUUGGUAACUGCCAAAAGAAGCUUCAAUGUAGUUUUAGAUAGGCAAAGACAUAGUUUUCUUCUAUACUUGUGUUGUGUGCAAUUGUCCUGGCUCAUCAUACUGUGAUUACUUUUGCACCUUACCAUUCCCUUUUUUAGGUUGUCCUAUUAUUAUAUCAGUAGCAUGUGCAUGUGGAUUGUUCCACUUGUUGCGCGCAAAUUGCAUGUGCUGUGAUAGGUUCUUGAUGAUACAACCUUUAAUUGUCUCUAGAAUCUAAGGGGCCUAAUUUAUAGUUUGAUUGGCUAUCGAAACAAAAAGGUCAUGCCUUUGAUUUUGUCUUUGGGUGCUAUCAUGUUUCUUAGCAUCUAACAGUUAUGGACAUGGACCCCCACCUUAAGUUUCAUAACCUAUCCCAUGUGGUCCUUACCAAAUCACUCUAGCAAUAUCCUGGAAACAUAACACAUUCAUUCAUGGGCUUUGACGUUGUAAGGAGAGUUCUGAUGCACUCAAGUUCAAUAGUUGAAUAAGUAGAUAUCCCUAUCAGCCCAUGUGAUGUGAUUCGCUUCAGUUGCUGCAUAAUCUAAGUUGUGCUUUUCUUAUGCAGAUUUCACUCCACCUCGUGGCAGCACACCGAACUACCAACCUAGAAUGCAAACAGUGAUGACCAAGAUCUUUCAACCGGACAAUUCAGACAAGUCCAAAUCACCAGAACCUUCUCCAACUGGCAGGAGGAAACUAGCCGAGCUCCUGCAGGAGGCGAUGCAAAAUGGCCCUGAAGAAAGAACUGAUCUCAGCAAGAAUGAGAAGAAGCAGUUGCAAUCUGUCGCUGCAGACGGGAAGCUGGUGUCUGAAUCCACAUCCAGCUCCGCUUGCAGCACGGAACUAACGCCGACCUUGGUCGCCAAGAGCCGGAAGGAGAAGGCAUGGUACUCCGGGCGCUGUUGCCUGCCGAGCUUUGUUCAUAGCCUGACCUUAGAUGAGAGUGAGAGGGGGCAGAAGAUGAGCUCUGGGCCAUGUGCUGUUUGACAGUGGUGCUCCAGUGCCCUCCUGCCCUGAGCUGUAUUUAGCACGAUAUAUUGCUCGAUCUGGACCCUGAAGCUACUGUAAAGAAGUGGGGGGGUAUUAAGAGUACUAUAUCCUUGUAGGAAUCAAGUGUAUAAUAGCUACCCGUUAAAUUGAUGUGGACUGCAUGUUGAUCAACUGCAAGAGUAGAACAUCUACCCUGUGCAUAUCUUCUCGAAUCUUCAUGGAUAUAAAUAUAUAUAGUUUCAGAUGUCAAAUGCCAGCAUAGCUAGGGCAUGUCAGCAUGUGACAUGUGGGAUACCAUGCCUUUCAAUAGUUCAUGUAAUGUGAUUGAGGUCUUGUUUAGUUUUCAAAUUGGGAGUGGCAAAGUUUGCAUUUUGCCAUAAAUACGAAACUGUAGCAUUUCGUUUGUAUCUGUGAAUUAUUGUCCAAACAUUGACUAAUUAGGCUUAAAAGAUUCGUCUAGCAAAGUACAACAAAACUGUGGAAUUAGUUUUUGAUUUCGUCUAUAUUUAGUACUUCAUGCAUGUACCACAAGUUUAAUGUGAUGGGGAAUUUUCUUUUUGCAUAGUGUCAAAGUUGAGAAAAAGAUGACUAAAUUGUGAUGCCCUAUUGGCACUUGCAUGAUUGACGCCAGACAAAUGUAUUGCUCUAUCCUGUAUCAAGUGUACCUUUUUGUUUGCCCCUCGGAUAUCUGCAAUGGUCAAGUCAUGGAUCAAGCCGGGUGCGUGUUUUGCAGCACACUGAUGGAGCUUGUGGCAAGGACAGGCUAAUAUCUGCUCAGAAUGUGGAAAACUACACCUCUGCGUUCGUCAUUCCUGUUCUUUCCUAACCACCAAACAAUGAUUCAGGGAUAAUCGUCAAAGCAUUCAUGGAUGACCAAACGACCCGCAAAUCCUGUUGUCCUGACAUGCAAGUCUGAGAAUGUACCUGCAGAUAUUAUACACAUCAUCGACCGCUUCCUACGAAACAGGGCCGCCAGAGUGGCUGCGGCGGAGAAGGUGAAACUGCAGUUGAUGCUGAACGGCAUGCAACUGAGGGACGGGGACGACACCCGGUGCUGCCUGCUGCAAGGAACCCACGGCGAGCUCAGAAAUCAGAAUGUCCGUGCUAUAUCGCACUCUGAUGGCGGCCACAGACCUCUCUCCCUGCCACUUCGCCUCCUACGUCUGGAAGAAUCGUGCUCCGCCACGAGUGAAGUUCUUCAUCUGACUCUUGGUCCAGGAACGAAUACCAUUACCAUGCAGGGGCAAUUUGGCCGAGAAGCACAUGCUGCCGAACGCCAUGUGCGACCUCUGUGGCCACCUGGAAGAAACGACGGACCACAUCAUCUUCCAGUGUCCGACAGCUCUCGCUCUCUGGGCACGCCUGGGGUACUGCGCAGGUUGCUGCAUGCGUCCUGCCGUGAUGAUACAAAGCGCUGAGCGGCGCGGGUUCCUGGUGCUCGCUCUUUUCUCCCAUGCAGAACACCGAUGUGAUAUCUUUCAUCCGUCCUGUAACCCCAAACUGCUGUAAACUGAGUCCAUGUUUCCCUUCAAACUCCCAACUUUAACACUAUGCAAAAAGAAGAUUCCCCAUCAUAUUAAACUUGCAGUACAUGCAUGGAGUACUAAAUGUAGACGAAAUCAAAAACUAAUUGCACAGUUUUGUUGUACUUUGCGAGACGAAUUUUUUGAGCCUAAUUAGUUAAUAUUUGGACAAUAAUUCACAAAUACAAACGAAACACUACAGUUGUGCAUUUGUGGCAAAAUGCUAAUUUUGCCACUCCCAAAUUGGAAACUAAAUAAGGCCUGAACUGAUAUAGCCCUGUUUCGGACCUGAGAUCCUAAUGGAAGUUUCAGGUGGGGGAGUCUCCCCCGUGUCGACCUUUCACAAAAGAAAGUACGAUACUUAAAGUUUUGAAUUACAAUAUUUUCAAAACAUUUCAUCAAGAAAAAUUUAAGUGCAUAUGAAGGGGAAAAAAGGUCUUGACAUGAUAGCCAAACAAUUUAAGUGCAUACGCAGGGAUCUCCCCUGUGCACGCGCCCGGAUUUUCAAACGACGCCGACGAAGUCCAAAUAGAAGACUCCACGAACCCACGUUCUGCAAAUACGCGCGCGUUUUGACCCAAAUGACCGCGCGCCGGCACCAUUAGCGAAUACAAAAAUUGAACGAAGCCAGAGAACCGACGACCCUUGCCUCGGCCUAUAAAUAGAUGGAGUUUGGAGAGGAAAGCAAUCGAUCCCAGGCUGCUACGCUAAACACGAAACGCCGCCGCCAGGCUGCUGCGAUCCCUUGACGGAGAGCGGCACCGGCAAACACCACCCCAGCAAGCACCGGUGAGGAAGGAGAUCCGGCAAGGUGAGGAGCCUGAUGGCCGGCGUUCCUCUGAUCAUCUUCCCCUCGUCCUCCCUCUUUCUUGCUUCCCCAUGAUGCAAAUCAGAAGAAGGCUCAAGGCCCUGCCCGUCGAUUUGGUCUUUUGAUACAAACCACAACGGGAUGCAAGAAGGCCCCAAUCCUCGGCUCGGUCCGUUGAUAGAUACGACGUCAGGAUGGGAUGAGCUCUUGUUCUUCGAUUCGGUCUGUUGAUACCAACUCAUGGACAAGUGCUAAUGACUGCAUGUUGAAAGCGGUUGAACCAGGCUCUCCCUGCACUCCGAUCCGUAUACGGGUUCGCUCAUCAUGAAUCCCUGCAGCGAGUGGCAGCGGCAAGAACACAUAUAAAGUUACCUGCAUGCUGAUUACAAGUGGUUGCCUUAUGUAUACUACACGUGUAGGCUCUCCCUAUAUACUGGAGCAUACUGUCUUGUUAGUAGUAAAGCAGGUCGAUCAACCACCUCCAAAGAAACGAUCAUCUCUGUAUAAACUAUUAGAUAGAUGGCGUCAAAAGAAACAGUCAUGCGCUGCAUCGUCUGCAUGCAUGCAAGUUCAGUUUAGUAGUCUCCUACCCAUGCACCCCAUUGCCUAGCAGAAGCAUCAACUAGCAUCAUCUCAAUUUAUAAAAUCGGCUACAUUAAUUGAUUCUGUGGCCGCAUACUCAACUGCUCUAUGUCAAAAUAAUUAGCAUGCAUCGAAAUCUGCAGCUGCUUCAAAUCCUAUGCGUAGCCAAAUGCUUAGAUACUAAUGUAAACGUAGUCGAACUAAGAAAACUCUGCCACAUGCAUGAACGUCGUCUCUGCGUCUUGUCCUGAUCAACCAGGAUGAGAUAAACAAAGCUUACAAUAGCGACGCAAUACUCGUAGUAGCUGUGAGUUAAAUAAUGACAAAUCAUGCCUAAUCUAAAGGAACAGGCAGUCACGAUGUUUCCCUGAGAAAUACUAUAACCUGUCUCAUGCAAAUGACAGAGAAAAGGGAAACGUUAUAAGAAUAUCCGACAUCUGCAUCUCGGGUUCGAUAAGCGUACAAACAAACUAGCAGUAACCCAUGUGUACACAGAAUGUACCUCUGCUAAACCAUGCAUGAAUUCCAAAUAAGUGCAUGAGCUUGAAUUUUGUUUAAUUUUAAUGGAUCCUAAGUUUGAGCUAUAAUUUUAACAUAGAAAUCUAUAUUCUCACCAGUUUCUCUAUGUAUUUAUAAAUGGUGACACACAUCAUGUGUAUAUACCUUAAGUAUUGUAUUAUAUACCAAUGGUGUAAGAAUAGAUAAUUUAAAAUCAUAUAUUGGUGUACAUGGGGUAUAUUUUUAAUAAAUGUGAUUUAGAUUCAUUUUUAGAGUUACCUCAUAUUAUUUUUAAUAAUGAUAUAAGUGGGUAAUAUAGAUGCAAAUUUAGGGGUUACUUUAAGUUAUUUUUUAAGUAUUGGUGGUGGGCAAUUUAGUUGAAAAUUUAGGGAGUUAUGUUAAUUUUUUUAUAAUGGCAUAAGUGGGUAAUUUAGAUGAAGAUUAGGGGUUACUUUAGUUUAUUUAUAUAAUGACAAAGGUGGUUAUUUAGAUAGAUUUCAGAGGUUACUUUAGGCUAUUUUCAUAAUGGCAGAGGUGGGUAAUUUUUUAGAAAAUAUAAUAGAUCCAAUGGUAAUGAUGAUUUGAGUCUAUCGAUUGAUUGCCGGACGUUUUGCUUUUUUUAAGAAUUUUUAGGAUUUCUCUAUUUUUUUAGAGUGUCCACCUAAGAUCCUAGGUGGCUUCACCUGAAGGCUUCAAAAGGAGCCUCCAAUUAGUAAUAGUAAGAUGCGAUCCCAUGUUUUUUUACUCCUUGCAUUGAGGAGGUUUUUCCACGCAAAUCACUUGUCUUUGUGCAUGCCACUUUGAGUUUUUAUUGAUUUUCCCAAUUCCCAUGCUUCGAAUUCUUCUAUAAUGAUGUGUACUAAUGGAAAUUAAAGUCACAAUUUUCUGUUGCGCCAUGACAUUUCCUAAUAAAUAGCAGGUGAAUGGUCCAUAUCUAGACAUGCAUGGAGUCGCCUCAGGUAUUGAGGUAUCAUUAAACCAGCAUGCUCAAUAUGUUCUCACACAAAGUUGCACUGUUUCUGUUUUCCGAUGAUGGGUACUCCAUAUUAUUGUUUAAUGUUCUUUCCGGGGGAAAAAAACUAGGGACAUGAACCAUUCUAUAUUUCUGGACUUUGAGAUCUAGUGCUCUUGGGUUGCCUAUAUGGUUGUUGAAACUUGAAAACCAUAUUGACAGUAGUAGCUCUGAAGGUGUAGAAUUCUAAAUUAAACCUUCAUGCACUGCCCGAACUCUGAAAUAAAGUUGCAUACUACUCCACUUGAAUCCACCCAAUGCAUGAUUAAGCGUUGCGUGCAUAUAGGCAAAAUGGUCUGUUCUAUGUCUGAUUAAUUAGCAAAUGCAUCUGGUGUGUGCAGUGGAUAGUAGUUGUUACGUUGCAUCCCAGUUCCUAACAGCCUCCAUCAGACUUACAGUUAUUACGCCAGGUCAGCCAUUUUUUUUUUUGUCGUUGCUCCGCACCAAGAACGUGGAACGCAGCUUCGAAUCCCCAUUCCAAUUCCAUCCUCAUUGCGGCAGCGGGAGGGGAACUGGGGCAAGAGUCCAGCAGCAAAAUAAAAUACGCGAGGACGUUCUGCUAGGCAAAGAGAUUUCUUUCCGGAUCUCUAGCCGGACGUUGAGCAGGGUCUCCUAAUUGAAAGCUUUUAUUUUGGGGGGCAUCUCCUAAUUGAAGGAUUGGGCACUUGUUCCCAGCUCGCUUCUUGAGGUUGACAUCAGUGCGUUGCGUGAGUACACGUGAUUCGGAAUAUUGGCUGCGCAACAAACCAAGUGGUAAGGAAAAGAUCUUUCGACCAAGCAUCUGUCAUUUGUGGUCGGUCAUCAACACGCGAGAAAUUAAAAUUCCCAUCUGCUUUUGGGAUAUUUUGAUGAUCAGGCGGACCAUGGAAGUAUGGAACACAUGCUGCACCAUCCGGUGACCGAGACAAUAUCUGUCAUACGUUGGGCCCAGCCCGUGCCCACGCAAAAAAAAAAGAGAAGAUCAUGCUCACUGUUGUUAAGCAACAAAGCGACAACAGAACGUAGGAUCAAGAGCAGCCUAUAUGGUCACCAAGGGCAAGCAUCACGCCAUCCCCGAAGUAUCUCAAUGUACUUUUACUUGACACAUGCCUAUAAUUACAUACUGUAACGUCGAGUUCCUGACCCAUAAGCUUUAUGGACAAGCCGGAGUCAGGGGGGGACAAGACACCUCAUUUUUUAUGUCGCGACAUGUCGCCGCGAUGGCUUGACAGCGGCCCGUCACCGGCUUGUGGCUGCCGGUAAUGGAGCGGCUAGCUGGCCAGCCGGGCCAGCGAGACCUGAAGGUGAUGCCUCACCAUCACCGCGCUGGCAUGACAGCGACCCGGCACUAAUAAUGGAGCAGCUGGCUGUAGUGGCUUCACUUGGAAGCUGGUUCCGUUCAUCAGCUCAGUCCUUCCACGCUGCCAUCUCCAUUGUUCUCACUUCUCAGCACUGCACCCUUGGGAACGUAUGCGGUAUGCCUCAACGCACUGCCGCUCUCAUCUAGUCCUCUCGUCGUGUGAGUCUGCAUCCUCCUCAUUCCUCAGCUAGUUUGGCCUCUCGUAGGUGCUGAAUGUUGCCUGAUUCCAGACCAUCUUUCGUUCCCAGAUUCCAGCCUCCUCUGUUCCGAAGCGACGCCCAUGAGAAUUGAGAUGGCAUGGCACUACUAACCAGGAGGGAUUUGGCAUCGACGACUCCUUGUCCGACGACGUCUUCUCCGCCCCGCCCGGCCCGGUCCUCUGCUGUACAUCCUGUUUUCGGAUCUGGGGUGUCUUCUCCAACACCUCUGCCGGAUCUUACUCUUUUGAGGAAGUCUCUACAGAUUUGAGCACACGCUCUGGCUGAGUGCCAGCCCUGGUGUGCAUCCGUUUUGUGGUAGGUACACGUACACCUCUUUCUGUCAUGUUCCUCGAAUGAAUCCUUGUCACGUGUUACUGAUUUGUUCUCUGCGAUUGCAAAUGCCUUUCCCUCUGCCUUCGGAUCCAGAAGGAACCUGAACCACCGCGUGACUCGUGAAGAUGGAGUUCGCGUUCAGCGCGGCGCGGUGGGUGGUAGGCAAGGCGCUCGCCCCCGUCGCAGACGGCUUCCUGGAGGCGUGGGCGGCCAGCAAGAAUCUCGGCUCCGAGGUCGAUGGCCUCAUGACGGUGCUGCAGUACGCGCAGGCCAUGCUCAACAACACCCGUGGCAGGGAGAUCGACAACCCGGCCCUCAACGACCUGCUGCUCAAGCUGCGUCUGCUGGCCUACGACGCCGACGACGUGCUCGACGAGCUCGACUACUUCCGCAUCCAGGACGAGCUCGACGGCACCUACCAUGCCGCUAACGAGCACGCCGGGGGAUACGCCCGUGACCUCCUCCUCAAUGCUCGUCACACUGGAAGAUACGUUGCCAAUAAGUUCAAGCUCUCCUCAGGCUCGCCUGAUGCUACUCGUGGUGCUCCUAACAAGCAAGGAGAUGAUGCAGAAGGACAUGGG
rnacentral:lncRNA from 1 species